AGAAUAUAAGUUAGCCUCAUAGUGACUAUGUGGAAGUCCUAACCUCGCUUGCAGACCUGACCUCUGGAUGUGACAAGGUAGCUUCACUACAGAUCUACUAUUUAAUCCUGGAAACUAAAAACCAAAAAAAAAAAAAAAAAAAAAAAUCUAAAAGCAAGAAAGAUGCAGACUAUUUCCUAAGAAGAACCCAAUGUAUUCUGGAGGGCAAAGAAAAACAGGGUGAGGUUCUGUGUUCACUGAUACAUCCCCUUCCUUCACCGGGCUCAUGAAAAGAAAUGCUGAAUCAGCGAAUAGAGUGAAGGAACAAUCAAGAUGAGAUGGCUGCUGCUGAUGUGAUUCUCUAGGUCACUACCUUUCUUCCUGCUGCAAAUGCUGCAUGACACUAAGCUUACAGGAUCUAGAAGCAGACUACAA
rnacentral:antisense_RNA from 1 species